rnacentral:rRNA from 1 species
UACAUGUGGGGCAAGCGUUGUUCGGAAUUACUGGGCCUAAAGGGUGCGUAGGUGGCUUGUUAAGUCAGGGGUGAAAGUUUUCGGCCCAACCGGAAAAUGGCCUUUGAUACUGGCGAGCUCGAGUGCGUGAGGGGUAACCGGAACGAGCAGUGUAGCGGUGAAAUGCGUAGAUAUUGCUCGGAAGGCCAACGGCGAAGGCAGGUUACUGGUGCGCAACUGACACUGAGGCACGAAAGCGUGGGGAGCAAACAGG